rnacentral:sRNA from 1 species
CUGCUGUACUGGCUGCUGCACCACUAACGAGCAAAAUCCACCUCUCUCCUGUUUAAACGCCCAAUAAAACUGGGGGUAUGCAACUUGGCACAGCUGCUGCAUUAGGUCUUGCCAACAACCCACAUAUAGCCGCCCCUUCAACGUCGAAGGGUCGAGCUUCCCGAGAGAACGGGACCAGGACAAAGGCGUCCUCGCUAGCUGACUAGCGGGGACGCC